rnacentral:misc_RNA from 1 species
GAUGAAGAACGCAGCGAAAUGCGAUAAGUAAUGUGAAUUGCAGAAUUCAGUGAAUCAUCGAAUCUUUGAACGCACAUUGCGCCCGCCAGUAUUCUGGCGGGCAUGCCUGUUCGAGCGUCAUUUCAACCAUCAAGCCCCAGGCUUGUGUUGGGGACCUGCGGCUGCCGCAGGCCCUGAAAACCAGUGGCGGGCUCGCUGUAACACCGGGCGUAGUAGAUUUUAUCUCGCUCAGGGCGUGCUGCGGGUUCCGGCCGUUAAAAAGCCUUUUUUACCCAAGGUUGACCUCGGAUCAGGUAGGAAUACCCGCUGAACUUAAGCAUAUCAAUAAGCGGAGGA